UAGAGACUAGAUAGAGAGAGAGAGAGACAGGGGCAGAGAGGGAAAGGCAGGUUUGAGGGACCUUAUCAGCAGCGCCACCCCGGCCGGCCCCCAUCCCUCGCCGUCCCCCUCCACCUUCUCGCCCUCGCCCUGCCUUUAAUUCGGGGCCGCCGCGCACGCCGCACGCUCGCUCUCCCGUCUCGCUCCUCCCUCCCUCCCUCCGCGCGCGGCGCCGGCCGGUACGGUGGUUCUGAUCCUCCCCGUGCCUGCCUUAUAGCACCACCACGCACCCGCCGCCACGCGCGUCUCUAGACCCUUCUUCUCUUCUCGAUCCCUCCUUCCAUCUAGCUCGUCCUGCGCCUAUAAACGCACAGCCUCUCCUUGCCUGUCUUCUCUCCCUUUGCGGCAGGCUGUGUGUCUUUCAGUUCAGCCUGCUGCUGUCUUUCACGAGGUGGAGGGCGUGUUCUUCGUCGGUGCUUCUCGUCGUAUUAGGAGCGAGGCCGGUGUUGCUAAAGGUAGAAGAACGAAGCUUGUGCAGCACACAGCGUCGUCGUCGAGGAGAAGCUAGCUCGCUUCUGCCGGAGGUCCAGGCUGCAGGUCGUCUAGCCGUGGUGCAGCGGUGCUGGUGGCGGCGACUGGAGCUGGCGAGGUAAGGGAAGCUCUGCUGCACGCGACGAGCGCGCCCGAUCCACCAGACCGUGAAGCUGGCGGCCGGCAAGUGGUGGGAGCGGCCAGAUGACACGGCCAUGCCGGGAAUGGACCCGGGCGGGGGCGGCAGCUCGCGCUACUUCCACCAGCUGCUGCGGCCGCAGCAGCAGCAGCAGCCGUCGCCGCUGUCGCCCAAUUCCCACGUCAAGAUGGAGCACCACCACAAGAUGUCUCCGGACAAGAGCCCCGUCGGUGGCGAGGCCGAGGCGGGCGGGAGCGGCGGCGGCGGCGACCAGCCGUCCUCGUCGGCUUUGGUCCCAGUCGAGGGUGGCAGCGGCGGGGGAGGAGGCAGCGGGUCGGGCACGCCCACGCGGCGGCCGCGGGGCCGCCCGCCGGGGUCCAAGAACAAGCCUAAGCCGCCCAUCAUCGUGACGCGCGACAGCCCCAACGCGCUGCACUCGCACGUCCUCGAGGUCGCCGCGGGAGCCGACGUCGUGGACUGCGUCGCGGAGUACGCGCGCCGCCGGGGUCGAGGCGUGUGCGUGCUCAGCGGCGGGGGCGCCGUCGUCAACGUGGCGCUCAGGCAGCCCGGCGCGUCGCCCCCCGGGAGCAUGGUGGCCACGCUGAGGGGACGGUUCGAGAUCCUCUCCCUCACCGGCACCGUGCUGCCGCCGCCCGCUCCCCCCGGCGCGAGUGGCCUCACGGUGUUCCUCUCCGGCGGGCAGGGCCAGGUCAUCGGCGGGAGCGUGGUGGGCCCACUGGUCGCCGCGGGGCCCGUUGUCCUGAUGGCUGCGUCGUUCGCCAACGCCGUGUACGAGCGGCUCCCGCUGGAGGGGGAGGAAGAGGAGACAGCCGCGGCUGCCGCCGGAGCCGAACCACAAGAUCAAGUGGCGCAGUCGGCUGGACCCCCAGGUCAGCAGCCGACGGCGUCUCAGUCCUCUGGUGUGACCGGAGGAGGCGACGCCGGCGGCGGCGGCAUGUCGCUCUACAACCUCGCUGGGAAUGUAGGGGCCUACCAGCUACCGGGAGACAACUUCGGAGGCUGGAGUGGAGGCGGUGGCGGCGGAGUCCGGCCACCGUUUUGAUCCAUGCCUUGACACACCCGAUUCGCAUCCACAUCGAUCAUCACGAAGAUUGAAAUGGUGCCGACAAGAAACUCUUGCCAUCUGAAACCGGGAGUUGAAGCUAGGCUUAAUGGAGCUGAGCCUGAGACAUGUAUAUUCAUGCUGGAUUAUUGUUCAAAGGAGAGACCUUUCAUCUGGGUGCUAUAGUAUAAUGCAUGCGUUUACGCAUGAGGAUGCAUUGCAAAUCAUGAGGUGUUUUAAGAAGGUAGUGACGAUGAUUUAUCAGGGAUAAGAGGAAGCUAGAGAUUGGGUGCAUGCAAGAGCUAGCUCAAUAAACUAAAGAAUGAUGUUUCUGUUAUAAACCAUUUGCUUAUCUCCCUCUACAAUCGCUGUACCCCAUACAUUACUACAACAACUCCUUCACGGUCGCUUUCAGCACAUAUAUGUUUUCAUUUUUCUCAUACAAUAAUUGUGAGUCAAAUAUUGAAAGGUUCAACCUCUAGUCAUUGUUUCAUGUUUCAACCUAGCGUUACUUAGGUCAAAUAUGUUAGCUUAUUCCAAUAUCUGAAAUAUAGGCAAGUAGGUCUAGACUACUGUGGCUUGUCAAAAAAGUCAUAGUUAAAAAUAUUGUUCACUAAUUUGUUGUGAGAGAAAAAUAUAGCUGAUAAACUCGAGCCAACAGGAUUGUGUUUUUAUUUCUCAAGAUUCAAUAAAAGAUGCCUGCUUGCCUGCCUUCUUUUGAUUCU